GUACCGAACUGUAAUCUUUAUCAGAUAACUGUCGGAUUUUAUUUUCCACCUUCUAGGUGUCAGAAUCGGCUGAAACUUUAAAUCUAGCCUCAUAAAAAUAAUUCUGACAUAUCCUCUAGUUUUCAUAAUUUUCUAACACUGUGUAUUUUCUGCUAAUUUAUCUGCCUCCUUUCACACAGAAAAUUCUAAAUCUUCUGUUUUCACUCCGAUUUCAGCACAGGUCAUUCCCAACCUAUAAUUCACUUCUCUAAAUCCAAUAAAAAUAGUAUCUCAUACUAUGUUUAUUUAUUUUCACUUUUACAUUUAAAAUUCGGUAUGUUACAUUCCACCGCAAUCUCACCGGAACCAUUUAAAUGUACACCGUAACUUCAUAGUUUUAGAUGUCCGGUACCUUACAUAUAGAUUGUGAGAGCAAGGUGAUCGUAUUUCGUGAGCCUAACCAAGAAAAGUUGGUGUAUCGCGCAUGUAAAAGCAAGUGCUUCGCGGCGACCGUAUCGGCAGCGAGGGCAAAGAAGAUGAUCAAAGGUGGAUGUGUGGUCUAUUUGGAGACCAUGGUAGAUGCUCAAAGGGAGCACCCAGAGUUGGGGAAUAUUCGAGUAGUAUGUGAGUUUCCGGAUGUGUUUCCAGCGGAGUUACCGGGAUUGCCACCAGACCGGGAGGUCGAGUUCGUCAUUGACUUGAUUCCCGGGGCGGCGCCAAUCUCGAAGGCUCCGUAUAGAAUGACACGGGUGGAGCUAGUGGAGUUAAAAGCACAACUGCAAGACUUGCUCGAUAAAGGCUUUGUGAGGCCGAACGUGUCACCAUGGGGAGCUCCAGUGCUGUUUGUGAAAAAGAAAGACGGUACACUUCGACUCUGCGUAAACUAUCGUGAGUUGAACAAGGUAACAGUUAAGAACAAGUAACCGUUGCCGAGGAUUGACGAUCUAUUUGAUCAGUUGCAAGGGUCAAUGGUGUAUUCAAAGAUUAAUCUCCAGUUGGGGUAUCAUCAAUUAAAGAUUAGGCCAAAGGAUGUACACAAAAUGGCGUACCGUACGCGGUAUGGCCAUUAUGAAUUCACGGUAAUGCCGUUUGGGCUUACUAAUGCCCCGGCAGCAUUUAUGGACUUGAUGAAUCGAGUCUUUCGGUCGUUGUUGGAUCGAUGCGUCAUGGUGUUCAUCGAUGACAUGUUGGUCUACGCGAGGAGCGAGGAGGAGCACGAGUAGCAUUUGAGAGCCGUGCUAUAGAUUCUCCGACAAGAGAAGCUUUAUGCCAUGUUGAAGAAAUGUGACUUUUGGCUUAUGGAGGUCACAUUCUUAGGCCACGUGAUAUCGGGCGAUGGGGUCUCGGUAGAUUCUAAGAAAGUGGAGGCGAUCAAGGAUUGUCUCGUCCGACAAGUGUAGCGGAGAUCCGCAGUUUUCUUGGACUUGCAGGCUACUAUCGGCGGUUCGUGGAGGGGUUUGCCAAAAUAACUACUCCACUAACGCACCUUACCCACAAAGGAGUAAAGUAUAUUUGGAGCGACGAUUGCGAUCGGAGCUUCGAAGAGUUGAAGAAAAAGUUGACGUCGACCUCGGUGCUUGCUUUGCUGACUCCGGGGGAGACCUUUGUAGUGUACAGUGAUGCUUCAUAUGUCGGACUCGGGUGUGUAUUGAUGCAAAGUGGCCGAGUAAUAGCUUAUGCUUCAUGUCAACUGAAGAGCUAUGAAAAGAAUUACCCGGUACAUGACCUUGAGUUAGCUGCGGUGAUAUUCGCUCUAAAGUUGUGGAGGCAUUAUCUGUACGGUGAGCAUUGUGAGAUUUACACAGAUUAUAAGAGUCUCAAAUACUUGUUCACCCAAAAGGAAUUGAACAUGCGACAGCAGCGGUGGUUGGAGUUGUUGAAGGACUAUGAUGUCACUAUACUUACCACCCUGGAAAAGCCAAUGUCGUAGCCAACGCGCUAAGUAGGAAAUUAGUAGAAAACUUGGCGAUGGAAAUCACGUCGCAACCAUUGUUGCAAAAGGAAAUGCAACGGUUGGGUCUUGAAGUUGUGGCGCCGGGAGUGCCGGCAACACUUGCCACAUUGGUAGUGCAACCGACCUUGUUGGAGAAGAUCAAAGAGCUGCAAGCUUCGGAUCCUUAUCUUCAAAAGGUGCGGAGUGAGGUUGAAAGCGGUAGUGCCGAGGAUUUUGGCAUUUCAAAAUCUUUGGUGUGUACCUAAAGAUGAUGACAUGCGAAGGGCGAUCAUGCAAGAAGCACAUCAAUCUCCCUAUAGUAUACACCCGGGCGGCACUAAAAUGUAAUAAGAUCUAAAAGUGAAUAAUUUGUGGCCGGGCAUGAAAAGAGAAAUUGGAGAGUUCGUGGCGCAAUGCCUUACGUGCCAACAAGUGAAAGCGGAGCGCCGGUUUCUGGCGGGGAAGCUUCAAAGUCUACCAAUACCCGUAUGGAAAUGGGAAGACAUUUCGAUGGAUUUCGUCACCGGUUUGCCUCGAUCUCAAGGCAGACACGAUGCAAUAUGGGUGAUUGUGGACCGAUUGACGAAGUCGGCGCACUUCUUGCCGAUUCACACUACGUGGUCGGAGACAAGUUGGCUCAAGUAUAUCUUGACGAGGUUGUGAGACUGCAUAGGAUUCCAGUGUCAAUUGUAUCGGAUCGAGACCCCAGGUUCACAUCUCACUUUUGGAAGAGCCUGCAAGAGGCGUUGGGCACACGGCUCGAUUUUAGUACAGCGUUUCAUCCUCAGAGUGAUGGAUAAUUAGAGAGAACGAUACAAAUCCUUGAGGAUAUGUUGCGAGCAUGUGUACUUGAUUACAGGGGCGGAUGGCACAACUACUUGCCGAUGGCAGAGUUCGUGUAUAAUAACAGUAACCAAGAAAGCAUCGCGAUGGCGCCAUUUGAAGCCUUGUAUGGAAAGAGGUGCCGUUCCCCGAUUCAUUGGAGCGAGGUGGGCGAAAGAGUUACUCUUGGCCACGAUGUAGUGCGUGAGGCAGAGGAAAAAGUUCGCCUUGCCCGUCAAUGUCUUGCGACGGCACAAUCAAGGCAAAAGAGUUAUGCCGACAAGCGCAGAAGAGAAUUGGAAUUCGCGGUUGGAGACCGUGCAUUUGUGAAAGUAUCGCCUAUGCGAGGAGUAAGGCGUUUUGGGGUCCGCGAGAAAUUGAGUCCCCGAUAUGUUGGACCGUUCGAGGUUUUAGAGCGCAUUAGAGCGGUGGCGUACAAGGUUACAUUGCCACCGAGACUCGCGGGAGUUCACGAUGUAUUCCACGUGUCGAACCUCCGAAAGUAUAUUCGUAACUCGACACAUGUGCUAGAGUAUGAGCCCAUGGAGUUACGUGAAGACAUGUCGUAUGAGGAGUACUCAGUGUGCGUCCUCGAUAGAGAAGAAAGGAAAUUAUGGAGUCGCAUAAUUCCAUACGUAAAAGUUCAAUGGAGCAACCACGCAGUGCGUGAGCCACUUGGGAGCUUGAGGAGACUAUGCGGAGCAUGUAUCCUCACCUAUUUGAGUCGACGAGUUGAGGUAUGUAUAGUUUCACGGACGAAACUAUUUUAAGGGGUGGAGAAUGUAAUAUACCGAAACUUUGGUAAACAAAUAUCGAACUUUAGUCAAAAUGACCAAAGUGCGAGGUUGGUACACUUCGGAAAGGCCAAAGGUGUCUAAAAUGCAAAAAGUGCAUUGUUGGGGGUCUUCGAGAACUGGAGAAUCAAAAAACUCUGCAACUGCAGUUUUUGAGCUCUCUGGGACCGGUCCGUGAUGGGAGAGACCGGUCCUCGUACGUGUGAAAUCUGAGAAGUGAGAAAAUUGGCUAAGUCCCAGGAGAGCAGCUCUCGGGAACCAGUCCCUCCGGGGAGAGACCGGUCCCCGAGAGACCGGUUCCAUCAGGGAGGGACCGGACCCAUUUUUCAUGGCUGAGUGGCUGCUCUCAGGGACCGGUCCCUUACUGGAGAGACCGGUCCCUGAGCCCGAAAAAUGCCCAGUCUGGGCAGUGUUAUGUGGUGAAAGUUGAGGGGCUUAUUUGCAUUUAUGCACUAAGUGGGCUAUGUAUGAGGGGGUAUGAGAUAUUUCUCUCAUUUCUCUCCCUCACACUCUCUCAUAUCUCUCUUUCUCUCUCUAGAAGGCAAGGAAAAGAGGAGAAAAGAGAAAAAGAAGGUGAAGAAGAAGAAGGAGAAGGUGGAGAGGAAGAAGAAGGAGUGAAGCAACUCCCUCUCCUUCACCUCUAGCUCAAGAAAGGAAAGCUUGUAAAGUAAGCUUUGAUCCUCUCUCAUGGUAAAACCCUAGAAUGGGUUUUGAUUGACCUAAGGAUGGUUUUUAAUGGAGCCCCUAGAAGAUUUAAAGCUUUCUUUUGCUUCCCUAAGAGAUCAGAACUAAGGUUUUGUAUAUGUGAUGGAACUAGGGCACCCAAAUUGGAGCUUUUGCUUGUGAAGGUUCUAAAGUUAAAUUGACCAUCUAGAAACCUAAUUGGGGGUAUUUCCGACGCGUUGGUGCGCUCGGUUUGAUGUUACGAAAAGCCUAUGCGAAGAUAUUGACAAAAAGAUCGAUUUUCGUAUAGAUUGCCGCAGCACGCGGAAUAGGAGUCCGAAAAUUUCGAGAAAUUAACCGUAGCACCCUAGUAAGCCUACGAGGUGGGUGGUGCUUUCCAAACUCUUUGAAAUUCCUUCUAUGUCUAUGUGUCACUUAUUGAGCAUAUGAGUAAAUGUUUGUUGCAUGCAUUGUAUAUUCAUGUGAAUGUUGCAUGUUGUGAGUACAAUUGCAUUAUGAAAUGGUUGAGAACCUAAGGACCCUAUGUAUGCAUGAUUGGUGAUAACAAGAACCUAGUUGAGACAAAGAACAAUGUGACACUAUGACAUGUAGAUCGAGUGGCAUUAGUAAAUGCAAGGUGACACUAGAGUUAGUGUGUGUGGAUGGCAUUAACGAGGAUAUGAAUGCUAAAGUGUUUGAACACUAGAGUUAAUGUGUGGUAUCAAAGAGAACAAGUGUGGCAUAAAGAACAACAAAAGCUAAAGUUAGCAACAAAAUGCGACAUAAAGAACACUAGAGUUAGUGUAAUGACAUGAUUGAAAAUAAAGAAUGCAAAGAACUUGAGAUUGAGACACAAUGACAUACUACCUUAGAGCUAAGGGUCAUUUGUGCAUAAUUUCCUUGUAGUUAAGGAACGGAUUGAACUUAACAUCCUUAGAGUUAAGGAUUGGAUCAUACUCGCUAUAAGUCCUUGCUUGAGGGCGGUAGCUCCCCCUCAAGCGAUGCGCUCCGGAGUUUGUCAUCACUGGGUUGGUGCUGUUCCCCAGAGGACGGUCCCCGUCGGGUCGUAGGAGUCUCCCCGGCGAAUUAGGAUUUUGAGUUGGUGAGUUAAUGAGGCGAAACCCCCGGGUUAGCCAUGAAAUUGAACAAGAGAUCAAAGAACUUGUAUUCGUCAUGAGUUUUAUAUUCAGCAUCCUUAUUGAUAGCUUUGUUCAGACAUAUUAGUUGCAUUCGUACAGUUGGUUACUUAUCUUCUUAUUUCUUUCUAUUAUGCCUGAGUUAGACCUAGUGGGAAAGUCGGUGAGAUUGGGGCCAAAUCCACUGGGAAUUUCGUUGUAGUUCUCACCCUACUAUUUCCACAGAGCCUGGACCAAGCGAGCCGGCGAGCGACCGCGGUAAAGGUAUCGCGCCGUAGACAGUGACUACCCGAGUCGAGUUUUAUACUUUUGCUAGUAGCAUACCCUUAUAUCAUCUUUUGUAUUUGAUGAUUAGAUAUGUUAAAGAAAAGAAUGUAAAGUUUUAUUUUGAGCAAAUGUGAUGUAAAAAGAAAUGAUGAAAAGCAAUGUAAAGGUAAAUGUGUAUGUGAAAAAGGAAUUGUGAAUGUAAAGGUUGAAUGCAAUGUAUGUGAUCCAAACUGAAUCAUAGUACUUGUGUAGAUGUUUAGCUUCCAUUCUUUCACUCUCGGCUAUUGCUUACCCUCGUGUAAGCCGUAAUUGUAUGUUUCCGCUUGUGCAUUUUUUUUCUACUUGAAUUGUACAUGCGUUGAGCCUUGGGCGGACAGGGGAGGCUCUGUUCGUUCGUCGUCUGUUCGAUGUGCCCGGACCGGCCAAAGGGUUCAGUCCCGGAGCGUGACAGGUUAUCCCCUACUUUAUACCCAAACAUGUUUUUGGGGGGUGGGAACUAGUUGUUCCCACCCACCUGGUACAAGGGGGUCUUGUACCGGGUUGGGUGGGAACAACAUGUUCCCACCCAGGGGUGGAACAAGUUGUUCCACCCCACCCCUCGGUAGAGUGAGAGAGAGAGAGAUUUUUAUUUUAAAUUUAAAUUUCUAAAAUUUAUAAUUUAUAAUUUUAAAAUUUAAAUUUAUAAUUUUAAAUUAUAAAUUUUAAAGUUUAAAUUUUAAAUUUGAUAUUUUUAAUUUUUAAAUUUUAAAUUUGAUAAUUUUAGUUUUUAAAUUUUAAAUUUGAUAUUUUAUAUCUUUCAAAUUUAAAUUUGGUCUUAAAUUUAAAAUUUUAUAUUUAAAAUUAAAAUUUUGAAAAUUAAAAUUUUAAAAUUUAAUUUCAAAAUAUAAAAUUUAAAAGUUAAAAUUUUCAAUUUAAAAUUCUAAGUUUAUAAUUUAAAUUCAAUUAUAGGGGUAAUAUCAUUAUUUUCUAUUUAUAACUACCAACUAUUCCACCUUAUACUCACAUUUUUAUCCAAACACAAUUUUUCUAGUUCUAGCUUAUACUCACAUUUUCAUCCAAACAAAUAAAUACCCUUGUUCUUACAAAAAUCCAUACUUGUACCUAUCCCCGGUAUAACUAGUUCCUACUAAUUUUCGAACCAAAUGGAGCCGAAGGAGAUAGCCUCGGUGGUCAAGUGGCUUGCGCCAACUACUGUGACCGAAGUCAAGCUUUUCUUGGCUUGGCGGGUUAUUACCAGCGAUUUGUCGAAGGGUUUGCCAAAAUUGCCGCACCACUGAACAGGCUGACCAGAAAAGGGGAAAAGUUCCUGUGGACUACACAGUGUCAGCAGAGCUUCGAUGAGCUAAAGGAUAGACUGACCCGUGCACCCGUUUUAAAUCUACCGCGGCCUGGUAAGGACUUCGUGGUCUAUUGCGACGCCUCACGAGUCGGUUUGGGUUGUGUGCUUAUGUAGCAGGAUCGGGUCAUUACUUAUGCCUCACACCAGCUGAAAGAGUAUGAAAAGAACUACCCGACUCACGAUCUGGAAGUCGCGGCAGUAGUGUUUGCCCUUAAGCUUUGGAGGCAUUAUCUAUAUGGGACACACUACGAGGUAUUUACUGAUCACCAGAGCCUGAAGUAUCACUUCACCUAGAAGGAGUUGAAUCUCAGGCAGAGGCGUUAGCUCGAGCUCUUGAAGGACUACGACCUCUUGAUUUAGUAUCAUCCGGAAAAGGCGAAUGUGGUAGCGGACGCCUUGAGCCAGAAACAAACAUUAGCUGAGUUGUCCUUCAUGAUCACGAGCCAAGAUCGUCUUAUGGAGGAGUUCCGCCGCCUCGAGAUCGAGGUUGUUUACACUGGGGCCACGACCUAAUUGAUGACCCUGGUGGUAUAGCCUACAUUGACUGAGCGGAUUUUGCUCGGGCAGCAGAGCGAUCCGCACUUGCAGAAGGUGCGGGCGGAGAUCGAGCAGGACAAGGACGGGGACUUCUCUAUUCACACUGAUGGAUCUCUGUUCCAGAGGUAGGUGGUGCAUGCCUAGUGACUCGAAGCUGAGGAAUGAUAUCCUAUCCGAGGCUCACCGAUCCCCUUACACGGUUCAUCCCGGCGGAACCAAGAUGUAUCGCCACCUGAAGCAGAAUUUCUGGUGGCCUGGGAUGAAGCUAGACGUGGCUCAGCACGUGGCUCGGUGCUUGGUUUGUCAACAGGUGAAGGCCGAGCACCAGCAACUAGCAGGAAAGCUGCAACCACUUUCGGUGCCCGUAUGGAAGUAGGAGCAUAUUACUAUGGAUUUUGUCACCAGAUUGCCUCGAUCACUGCGGGGCCAAGAUCCGAUCUGGGUAACAGUAGAUCGGCUGACGAAAUCGGCUCACUUCCUGCCGAUGCACACUACAUGGUCCCGCUACCGACUGGCACAGUUGUACAUUGAUGAGAUCGUUCGGCUUCAUGGUGUGCCGGUGUCGAUCAUAUCAGAUCGGGACACUUGCUUCGUAUCCCAAUUUUGGAGGAGCUUAUAGCAGGUUAUGGGUACGAAGCUGAACUUCAGUACGGCUUUCCAUUCCGAGAGCAACGGUCAGUCAGAGCGAGUCAUCUAGAUUCUUGAGGACAUGCCCCGCGCAUUCGUCCUGGAUUACGGUGAUGGAUAAUUUCGGUAUCUACCGCUUAUAGAGUUCGCCUAUAAUAACAGCUACCAGGCGAGCAUCGGGAUGGCACCGUAUGAGGCUUUAUAUAGGCAUCGAUGUCGGUCUCCUAUCUGCUGGGACGACGUAGGAGAACGCCGGUUGAUUAGGCCAGACUUAGUGGAGGAUUGCUAGUGUAAUAUACCGAGAUUUUAAUAUAAAAGUAAGUGUAAAUAAAAAAAUAGUGUAAGAUACUACUUUUAUUGGAUUUAAAGAAGUAAAAUAUAAGCCGGAAACGACUUGUGCUGAAAUCAGAACGGAAACAGAAAAUUUAGAAUUUUCUGUAAGGAACGGGGCUGUCAUUUUAGCAAAAAAUUCACAGUGUCAGAAAAUUAUGAGAACGUGGGAGUAUGUCGGAAUUAUUUUUAUGAGGCUAGAUUUAAAAUUUUAUGUCAUUCCGACACCUGAAAAAUGAAAAAUAAAAUUCGACUGCUAUCUGCUAGAGAUUUUGGGUCGGUAGAGCUUUCGAUGAUCAAAAGUGGUCGAAACUGAGAAGUUAGGAUAUCGUUCUUCUUAUUAAGUAAAAUCGAGCCUAACUGUUAAAUUUGAGCGCAAACGGACAUUUAGAAGGGCUCUGGCGAAAAGGAAUAGAUUUUGAACUAUUGAACUGAUAAUUGUAAUAGUGUUUUGGGGGCCUAUAUAUGUAAACCCACACACUCUCUCUCCCUGAUUUUAUCCAACCCGAGAGAAGCUUGGAGAGAGCUUCUCUCUCUCUCUCUUUCUCUCUAGCUUUCACCUCUCUCUCCUUUCCUCUUGUAAUUUCUCCAUUAAAGAGAGGUUUGGAGGAGCUUAAAGUUGCUUGAUGGUGAAGCAAGCUUUGGUGGAGAAAAAGGCUUGGAGUUGAAGCUACUACCUCUCAUUCUUCCUUGGCUCAAGAAAAGAAAGCUUGUGAGGUAAGCUUCUUGAGCUUCAAUGGUAGAUUUCUAAGGUUUGAGUUAUGUGCUCUAGAAAUGGGCCUAGAUGACUCCCUAGAUGCUAAGUAGAAGCUAUUUGCUUGAAUCAAAGACUUGUAUGGCUAUUAUUGCAAUAGUUGCAUCUUAGGGUUUAAAAAGAGAGUUUUGUUAUAUGGGAGGGUUUGAUGUAAAUUGACCCUAUAUAUCUUCAAUUGAAGGUAAAGUUAACAACGUGGGUAACUCAAAUCGAAGUUCCUACGAUCGUGCGAUGAGUAAUUAAAGAAAAGGACCGUUUUGGCUUCGUUUCUGCCUGGAGGGCCGGGGCAACGUCCAAAAAUCACGAAACUAGAAUCUUAGCGUCACGGCAUCACCAGAAGGUGGUGGGUGCUAUCCGAAGCAAUCGGAAGUAUUGUGAGGUGGGUUGUGCUCACCGAAGUUAUUAGCUCACUUUUAUGCCGAAGUGAAAUGUUGUUUAUCAUUGAUGCAUAAUGGUGGUUAAUUGCUAAACAUAUGAAGGCAUGAAGUAAAUGCUAGAAGAAUAUGUAAGAUGAAUGCUAUGUUAAACUACCAUGGUUACUAUUGAUGCAUGUAUGCAUAUUGGUAGGUUGUGCAUGAUAAUGUGAAUGUAGGAAUCAUAUUAUGCUUGAUGGUGUUACCUACCAUGAGAAGUUAUAUGAAUGCAUGACAUAGAGGUUAUAUGAAUGCAUGAGAUGAAAUAUGCAUGUUAAGAUAUUGUGGAUUAUGUUAGAUGGAAUAUGCAUGAUGACAUGUUGUAGCAUGUGUUGGAUUCAUGUAGAAGUGAACUUGGACAAUAUGUUUAUGUAAAUGAGUGGCAUGUGAACUAGUGUGGUAGAGGCAUUUAAACAUGAUUACAUAAACGAGUGGCACAUGAUUAAGUGCAGUAGAGACACUUACAACAUAAUGACAUGAUCGAGUGGCAAUUUGGAUCUAGUGUAGUAGAAACACUAUGACAUGAACAUAGGGAUAGUAGAUUUUCCGAGUUGUCAAUAUGGCCUUUGAAUUUAGUGUCGUAGAAGCACUAUGACCCUUGUAGACAGGGUAUCCUCAGUAGACGAGGAUUGGAUCAUACUCACUUAGUCUGUGUUCGCUUGGGGUGAUCGCUCCAAACAAGCAGUGAGCUCCGGAGUUAUCACACAAUGGGUAAAAAGAACCUACUAAGCAAACGGUCUCGGUGUGCGAGUACAGAUUCUCCUCACCUAUGAGAUUUUGAGAGGUGAGUCGGGGCGUAACCUUCGGGUUAGCCAAGCAGAUUGGGUGACAAGCAUAUGAGCUGUAGUUGAAUCCCAGUAGAGUGGAUUCGGAAUCCCAGUUGAAUGGAUUUAAGGCUGAGGUGCAUGUGAGACGUCCUUCACCUUGAGCCUGGUUGUACGCGGUAUUCCGCAGAUGAUUGACUCGAGGCCGAGUCGAGUGGCUAGCUUGGUAAAAGUAGAUGAAACCUUAUGAGCAGAUGAUAAAGGUAGAUGAAACCUUAUGAGCAGAUUGUGAAUGACAUGAAUUUAAGAUAGAGAAAAUCUUAGAAGUCAGUUGGAUGAACUGUGGAUAGCGAAACUGAAAGUAGAAUUAGUAGAUCUACUUACAUUAUUGCACGUUGAGCUACAUGACUUACAUUGAUGCAUAUUGAGUUGCAUGAUUUGCAUUGUUGCAUAUUGAGAGGCAUGAACAUGAUAAUAUUAGUUGCAUAAAUUAAAUGAUGAUAUAUAUAUAUAUAUAUAUAUAUAUCUGUGGAUAUUUGUUGGAAUAACAUGUUUGCAGUGCCUCCUUCGGACCUGCUAGGUCGAGCUCUUCCCUUGGGUGGCCGUACCCACUAGGAACUAUAUUUAUAUAGUUCUCACUCCACGUUGUUUUGGGGAUUACAGGUUCACACGCGAGCUGUGCGGCGGCGCGAGGAAAGGUCGUAGCUUCGUAGAUAGCGCCCUACCACGGAGACCAAAAAUAGUAGUACCCAAAGUCUGCCUAGCUAGGGGUUUGUCAUGCCCCGGGACCCAGCGGAAGCCCGCUCGGCGCGUGCCCAGACCCGCCUUAUGUCUAAAACAUAUAAGGCGUCUAAUACGAAACAAUAAAUAAAGCAAAUAAAGGAGACCUAAAGAUAUCAGAGCAUUAUACAACAUCUAGUACCUAAAGCAGUGAAAUCCUUUAGCUAGAUAAGAUAAGGGGCGGAUGUAGCCAAGUGGGUCUAGCAUAUUUUUUCACAGUAGCAGGAUCAGAAUAACUUACUCCAGGGGGAUUAUUCAGAGCAGGCUCAAUGGAACUACUGAACUCAAUCUCUUGCUGCCGUUACUCAUGUUAGGUCCUAUGUGUUGGCAAGUUUCGUGGGUCGAGUCGGAGUCUUGAAGAAGUUCGGAGCGGAGUAUUGAAAAUCGAAGAAUCCAAGACUUCGAAGAAUCGGAAAGGACGCAAAACACGCAAAACUUGAAUCACGAUGCGUAGGUAAGUUUUAAAUCUUGUUUAUGGUGAUUCAUACUUAUUUAUAGAUCUUAGAAUCAUAUUUUCAAGUUGUAAUUGAUUAGAAAGUUUUUAAGAGUUUGUAAAACCCGAAACAAUGCAUUUUCAGCGAAAAUUGCAUUGCUGUACCGGUACAAGGGUUUUCUGUCCAGGGUACAGCCAUCAACGUUGCGCAGAAAGUUUGAUGGUUGUUCCGGUACAAGCUUCAUGCUGUACCGGUACAAGCCCUGUUCCGGAACAAGCUGAAGCUAUCCAGGGUACAGGAGCUUCGCAGAAAAAUCUUCCGUCAUGGUGUACCCUGGACAACAUUCCUUGUUCCGGUACAAGGUGCUGUUUUUGGAAAGAAACUUUCUAAUUCGACUCCAAUUGAUUCUAAAGUCUAUAAAUAAGCUAUUGGGCUUCUCUAACACAUCAAGCAUCAUAAGAAUACAUGUUUGAGAAACCCUAGAGGCUCGGAUUUCAUCUUAAACCUAUUUUCUACAAAAAGCCUCUUUUAGAUCAAAUCGAGAUAUUCAAAUUUGAUAUUAAUAUGUCGAUUUGAUCUCCGCUUUGCUUGGAGUUCUAUUCCCUGGUUUUCUACAAUACUCCAAAGCGAAGGAUCACCAUAUUCAUGAUAUUCUUCAUGAACGGCGUCGUGGAUUCGGCGUGAACGAAGACGGUUCGUGGAUUCGGAUCGUGAGCUCGUGGAUUCGAGUGGGCGUCGUGGAUUCGACGUGAUCGAGGCUUCGUGGAUUCGAAGUGGUGACGUUUUGUGGAUUCGGGACGUGGCGUUCGUGGAUUCGGACGUGGGGCGUGGACAACCCGUUGGUGUGCGCGAGAUCCGGAGAAGAUAGAAGAGAGGUUUGAGUCCGUGGAUUCAGUAAAACACCUUGUAAUCUUUUAGUCUUAGUGGAUUGUUAUCGCGUGUUGGUCCCGUGGGUUUUUUACUCCGAGUUUGGAGUUUUUUCACGUAAAUCUCGGUGUGCUUUUUAUUUUCCGCAUUUAUUUUUAUUGCAUCGAGAUUUGUGGUUUUUUGGCCUUUCACCUAUUCACCCCCCUUUAGGUGAUAGAUACAAUCUAGAUAGAUCCUUGGGCUCCUCAAAACUUUCAAUUGGUAUCAGAGCGGGAUCUAGAUAUAUUGUUAUCUAAUGGCUGAAGGUGGUAACAUUAAUCGACCUCCGCUCUUCGACGGCACGAAUUAUACCUAUUGGAAAGUUCGCAUGAGAGCUUUUCUAAUUGCUAUCGAUGAGCGGGUUUGGCAAUCAAUUGAAUUUGGGUGGAAACAUCCGCUAGAAAAGGUCGAUAAUGUUGAAAAGCCAAAACCACGGAACAAGUGGACAAAAGAAGAAAACGAGACAUCUUCGUUUAACGGCAAGGGCAUAAACGCUUUAUUCAAUGCCUUAUCGCAAACGGAGUUUACUCGUGUUUCGGCUUGUGAAACGGCAAAGGAAAUUUGGGAUACUCUACAAGUUACGCAUGAAGGAACAAGCUUAGUAAAGGUCCAAAAAUUGCAAAUGCUAACUAGCAAGUUUGAUUCAAUUUCUAUGGACGAAAAUGAGACCUUUACCGAGUACUAUACACGUCUACAAGAUGUUGUGAACACAUGUGCUAACUUGGGAGAGAAAAUUCCGGAUUCAAAGGUUGUUAGGAAAAUCCUUCGCACUCUUCCGGAACGUUUUCGGGCUAAAGUAGCCGCGAUCGAAACGGUCAAGCAUCCGGACGAGAUGAAGGUCGAAGAAUUAGUAGGUGCUUUGCAAACUUAUGAGAUGACUUUUCCUACUAAUCAAUCUUCUUCCAAUUCUUCUUCUAAAAGCACAGGUGUUGCAUUGAAAUCUACAAAGGAGAAGGACGAAGACUCGAGUUCCGAUGAUGAUUUAUCAAUUGCGGACUUUGAACAACAAUUGGCGCUUCUCACGAAGAAGUUUCGUCGGAAUUUUCGAAAGAAGAAUAGAUCGAACAAGGCUUCAGCGUCUAAAUCUUUUUCGUCUACAUCUAAGGAGAAGAAGCGUGCAAAGGCUUCGAAAGAAAAGGAUGUCUUUGAAGGCGAGAUCCAAUGCUUCAAGUGCAAAGGUUACGGCCACAUUGCGACGGAUUGUCCUUCAAAGAGGACAUCUAGACAAAAGGCUAUGCAAGCAAAGACGUGGGAUGAUUCAACAUCAAGUGAAUCAUCGUCAAGUGACGAAGAAAAGGAUGAUCAAAUUGCUUUAUUUGCUAAUGCUCCCUCGUCGAAUGUUGUGUGUUUAUCCUCUGUUGCUACUAACUCCAAUAUUUCUCUUUCUUCACAUGAUUCAUCGAGCAACAAUGGCGAAAGUGAAGAGGAAUCAAACGACGACGACAUAGCGGAAGCGUACAAUCAACUUCUUAUUGAAUCAAAGAAGAUGGCUAAACUCAACAAGAAGUUGAGACGUCGUUUGUUGGAACUUGAGGAGGAAAACAACAAUGUAAAGAAUUUGAAUAAGGUUCUUGUGGAGGAAAGGGAUUCAAGUUUGAAGAUUAAUUCGGACCUCCAAGAGAAGCUUAGUGAUGCGGAAUCAACGAUCAAAUCCUCUAAUGACAAGAUUGGACUUUUGGAGCAUCAAUUUCAUGAAUCGCACAAGUCCAAUCAAGUCUUGAUCUGUCAACUCCCAAUCCAUCUUCACGAUUUCUUCUGGGAUCAAAGAAGUUGACAAAAUGUUGGAUUGGGCUCAAACGAGCAAAUUGGGUCUUGGAUUGAAGGACAUAUGUUUGAGAGGAUCAAACUGGCGACCAUCUAAGUCUCACUAACUUUCAAAAGCGCACAGUGUGUCAUCGAUGUGGCCAUUCGAAGGAACGAUGCAAAAGGAAUUGCCCAACAAAAAUGGCAAGAGUCACCAAUGGCAAUCAAAAACAUUCAUCAUGGCUUCAUCUAGCAAGUCGACUUCCCCCGCGGAAUCAAAAGAAAAAUCAAGUGGUCGGCUAUUCUCAAAAGAACCGGUUUUCUAGCGCACACGUCAACCGUCAAGAUUUAUACAAACGGAUGUCUUAAUCCUCAACGACUAAAUUCAAUGAAGCCUCAACGAAGAAACCACAAACGGUUGAUAAAAAAUCUUAAGCAACGGCACCAAACGUCGACAAGCCGACGAAAACCAAAGACCGACAAGUUUGGAUCCGGAAGAGUGAUCUUCCUUGGCAUAAUCCUCGUCUUUAGUCAUUUGAUCUUUGUGUAAUGCCGUGUGGAUUGGUGUUUGUUGAAUAAUUUUAUUCAUUUCAUUACAUGUUAAAUGAUUUUUGGAGUUUUUGCUUUGAAUUUUGUUUAUUUAAAAUCAUUUUGAGGAAAAGGGUGUUUUGGGAUUCAAAUUUUCGAGAAAGGAUGAUGAUGAGGAAUCUUUUGGAGAGAGAAUAUUCUUUAAUUGUCGCGUAAACGGUAAUUUACCUUCACAAUCAUAUAAAUGUUAAAUCAUAUAUGCUUCAUUUUUACUCCAAUUUUUAUUCAUUUUGACCGAUAAAAUUAUAUAUGAUUGCUGUAAUGCAUAAAUUCAUCAAAUUUUCUGAAAUCAAAUUUGAUUUUUUGGUGAUUAAUUUCAUCUGGUUGUGACGUGUUGGAUAUGAUGAAUGGGUAUUCCUAAUUGACUAAAAUUCGUCAAAAUUGUAUUUUCAUUGUGAGAUUGUCUAAUUUAUGGGUGAGUUUGAAAUUGUUUAAAAUAAAAAAGGAGAAAAAAAAACUCCUAGGGUUUAAAAGACUGGGUGGAAAAGGUUACAUCAAAAGGAGUGUGAAAACUACCACCAACUCGUAGGAAAGAGUACCACCCCGGUCGUCCGGAAGAUGUGUGAAGUCCAGCAAUGAAAUUAAUUGGAUAAGCGAAACGUUGGAAAAAUUAAAUAUUUAGAAUUUCGGAGUAAUAAGGUGCUAGUUUUGAAAAAGAUGCAUCAAAGAGCAGCCCUGGUAAUCUAUUUUAAGUUAAUCUCUAUUUUGAAAUGUAGUUGCGACAUUCGACAGCGAUGUGCAAUUUUGUCUUUGAAUUCUAAAAUCAUUUUCAUCAACUUACAUCUGGAUGGUUUUUGGUAUUAAAUUAUUUUGAUUUUGAAAUUUUGAUGCUUUGAUGUUGUUGUGAAAUUUAUAUAUUAUUCAUUCAAUGAUUUUUGGAGAAAGCCUUACUAUAUGAUUUAAUUUAAUGUGAUGGAUUUUUAAAGCAAAUUUUCGAAAUCUGAGCAUCGUUCAUUGGCUUUAGUCUCUCUCCUUCUCUAGUUUGCCUUUUAGAUCGAUGAUGUUUUAGUUUCAGUUUUGCUUGUUUUUUUUGGCCUGUAACUAUGACUGACUACGCUUUACAUCCUUUUUUCUAAGUAUGUUAUUCUUCUCUAUUUGAUUUCUUUUUAGGCAUUUUUACGAAAAGGGGAGAGAGCGUAGAUGAAGGGGGGGAGCAUGGCAUAGAACAAGUGCAGUUGAACUGAAGCAGAGGAUGAUGAUGUUCAGAACAAAGGGGGAGAUGCUGAGAACAAAGGGUGGCGAGAGGUAUUAAGAAUUUAGUUGCUCAAUUCAUUUUGAAUGAAUGUUCAAGACUCCUAGUUGCGGUUGCUAAGUUCUAUGAGUACUUUUUAGGAGUUUUGUAUGUAAUUUUGAGUUUUCAGAAUUGAUAUUGGAUUACAACGAGGACUAGCAGCCAACGCGCGCGGGUUCGAUGUUUGUGAUGGACAUUGAACUUCCGUUUAUUUUUACAUUGUCAUUUGUGAGUUUGUGUGUGUUUUGUCAGCGAUUUGCCAAAGGGGAGAUUUUUAGUCCUAUAGUGUUGGCAAGUUUCGUGGGUCGAGUCGAGUCUUGAAGAGUUCGGAGCACGGAGUAUUGAAAAUCCGAAGAAUCCAAGACUAUCGAAGAAUCGGAACAGGACGCAAAACACCAAAACAUUGAAUCACGAUGCGUUAGGUAAGUUUUAAAUCUUGUUUUUGGAUUCUAUACUUAUUUAGAAAUUUUAGAAUCAUUAUUUCAAGUUGUAAUGUCAUUAGAAAGUUUCUCGGAGUUGUAAAAUACGCGAAACAAUAGAUUUCAGGCGAAAAUUGCAUUGCUGUAGGCCGGUACAAGGGUUUCUGUCCAGGGUCAGCCAUAUCAACGUUGCGCAUGAAGUUUGAUGUUGUUCGGUACAAAGGUUUUCUGUCCAGAGGUACAGGGCCUAUCAACGUGUAGCCAGAAAGUUUAUGCGUUGUUCCGGUACAGCACUUCAUGCUGUACCGGUACAAGCCCUUUGUUCCGGAAAGCUGAAGCUAUCCAGGUAGGAGCUUCGCAGAAAAAAUCUUCUCAUGUUGUACCUGGAAACAUUCCUUGUUCGGUACAAGUGCUGUUUUGGAAGAAACUUUCUAAUUCGACUCCAAUUGAUUCUAAAGUCUAUAACAUAAGCUAAUUGGGCUUCUCUAACACAUCAAGGAUCAUAAGAAUACAUGUUUGAGAAACCCUAGUGGCUUGAUUUCAUCUAAACCUAUUUUCUACAAAAAGCCUCUUUUAGAUCAAAUCGAGAUAUUCAAAUUUGAUAUUAAUAUGUCGAUUUGAUCUCCGCUUUGCUUGGAGUUCUAUCCUGGUUUUCUACAAUACUCCAAAGCGAAGGAUUCACCAUAUUCAUGAUAUUCUUCAUGAACGGCGCAGCGUCGUGGAUUCGGCGUGAACGAAGACGCGUUUCGUGGAUUGGAUCGUGAGCUCGUGGAUUCGAUGGGCGUCGUGGAUUCGACGUGAUCGAGGCUUCGUGGAUUCGAAGUGGUGACGUUUCUGUGGAUAUCGGGACGUGCGUUCGUGGAUUCGACGUGGGGCGUGGACAACCGUUGGUGUGCGCGAGAUCCGGAGAAGAUAGAAGAGAGUUUGAGUCCGUGGAUUCAGUAAAACACCUUGUAAUCUUUUAUUCUUAGUGGAUUGUUAUCGCGAUGUUGGUCCGUGGGUUUUUACUCCGAGUUUGGAGUUUUUCACAGUAAAUCUCGGUGUGUUUUUAUUUUCCGCAUUUAUUUUUAUUGGCAUCGAGAUUUGUGUUUUUGGCCCUUUACACUAUUCACCCCCUCUAGUGAUAGAUACAUCUGUAGAUCUAGGGAUCCUUAGGCUCCUCAAAACUUUCAACUCAACAGUUUCGCUAAAGAAAAAGCUUUUACUGCAGCUAAAUAUCCUUUUUUCUUCCAAAUAUUUCUACGAAUACGUUUUUUUGACAUAGAAGUAUUGGCAUUCUUGGUGCCAUGGAAGAAAUAACUGAUUAUAAAGCGCAGGCCGAAACGGGUGAAAUAAAAGGACAUUACUUAAAUGCUACUGCGGGUACCGAGGUGAUGGGUCUUCUUUUGCGGUGAUAAAUUACCUACUUAAGGACCUGAGACAGGGAAUUCCCUAGGAGAAGGUCAAAGUCAGCAUCUUAGCCCUCAAGGAUUUCUUCCUCUGCGUCUGCUGAAAAGAUGAAUCCCUUUUGAAGCCAGAAUUGGGUCCUGAGCUAAGCCUUGGCUAAACCUCGGAAUCAUCAAUCGAAUCACUGUUCGCGACCCAGGAUUCUAUUUUAUCAUCAAUCCAAUCACCGUUCACGUUUUUCUUUUUCUUAUAAUUCUAGUUCGUCAUGGGCAGGGACACUAUUGCCGAUCUAAUAACUUCUAUAAGAAAUGCUGACAUGGAUAAAAAAGGAAGGGUUCGAAUAGCAUCUACAAAUAUCACCGAAAGCACAAGUGCAGAAUUCGUACCUUUCUAAUUUAUAUUUGUUCUAGUACGAAGAGUAGAGAGCUAAAAAAAUCACUAAAUAAACCAUAAGGUAAAUACAAUAGAAAUCCCAAAUACAGAAGCUAAACAUGUACAUAGGUGGUCUCUCUAUACAUGGUACUCAAAAUCUCUCUCUCUCUCUCUAAUACAACAAAAGAAAGAGUAACCACCUAAGCUCAAAAGUAGCUCAUCUCUAUCUAGCUAGGCAACACCCUUGCCACGAUCCCGUGCCUCCGCCGGUGCCGAAGGCUCUGAAAAGGAAACAUAGAAACAGGGGCGUGAGAACUAUUAAAUAAUAGUUCCCCGUGAACAAUUACUGACUUCAGUGAAAUGCGCCACUAGGCCCAAGAGCUACAAAAAGGGGUCAGUGUAUAAGUAUAAACAAAGGCAUAAGUAUGAUGUCCACAAGCUAAAUAGUAAAAUGUCAUUGUUUACUAUUCUAGCCAAUGUCCACAUGGCAUGAUGAAUGCUCAAAGUCAAAUCUGAAGAGACCCACCCGAAGGCUGUCUGGCCCUGAGACCCUCUCGUAGGCUGUCUGGCGGAUGUCGAGCCUAAUGGCCCCGUGGUAGUCAACAUCCCCACCAUAGGGAUGAGCCUAGCCCACGGAAAUCCACUUCGGCGCCCAAUCCCGCACGGCGAAUAUGUAUCGCGAUAGCUAUCUCCGGAGUGCCGGCUUGUAGGGAGCGACCCUCACAAGCAUGUGCGAAUGAGCACAAUGGCAAGUAACCAAAAGAUCCGUCUCAAGUACCAAGUCCUCAUGUCUAACAACAUGGAAUACGUCACAUCUCUCAUAAGCCUAUCUCUAUGUCAUCAUGUCUUUAACAUGGAAAAUAAAAGAUGUCAAUGGCCUAUCACUAAGUCUCAUAUGACAGUUGCAUAGUUUGCUAAUCCAAGUGCCACUUUAUAACACUUUUGGUCUCUAUGUCCAAGCAAGAUAAUUAUGAUCAUGAAUGCAUAAUUCUAAUCAUUUUCAUCGUACGAGAUAAGUACCCAACUCGCAAAAAGAACCAUUUCUCACAUGCAUGCUAAAAACCCAGAAUACCCUACUACAUAGAGUGAAAAAUUCAUGAUACAUCAGGCAUGCAUUUUAAGUGUUCUAAAAUUCACAUAAAUCCCAUUUAACAUGAAUAUGCAAUCAAAUUGACGUUACGACAAGUAUAGAAUACAUAGGGGCCAUUUCGCCCCGAUUUCAUAAAGUCAAACUCACCACAACUGUCACAGCUCGCGACCACCCGCCUAUUUGGCCGAGGUUCCGGCGCCGCCGACAUCGCCGAAUGGACAGGGUUUCCCCUGUACUACGGACAGAGUCUCCUCUGUACAUUCAAGGCAUCGCAAUCAAUACAAUUCACGAAGGUUCCAACCAGGAACAGAUAUCAAUCAAGAUUGCAAGUGGAAGGUAUCAUACAACAUAAACACAUCCUAAGUUAUUACAUUCAUUCACUUUCAUAGUUUUUACAUCACAGUUUCCAUUUUUUUUCAUCCAAAUGCAAUCUAAGUUAUUACAACAUUUAAUUACUACAAGUUUGAUACAUUGUAUUCUUUUCAUUUCCUUUACCCCUAAGCUAUAUAGACGGGGUACUGCUAGCUCUGGUCUCUGGGGUAGGGCGCUAUCUGCAGAACUACGCCCUCGUCUUGCGCCGCCGCGCUGCACACGUGUGUACCUGUACCCCCAAAACAGCAACACGGGGGUGAGACUAUUGUCCAUAGUCCUCAGUGGGUUUAGCCACCCAAGAGAACCAGCUCAACCAACAGGUCUAAAGAGGCACUGCAACAUGUUAUUUCAACAAUAUACAACAGAUAUAUAUAUUCAAUUGAAAUACAUGUCAUGCCUCACGAAAUGAAAUAUGCAAUACCUGUAAUCAUGCAAGUAGGUUACUUUAACGCUACUUAUAUUCUUAAUCAUUCUUUACUCUUGUCAUUUAAUGUUUACUUUUAGCUCUUAGCUAUUCUUUACUUGUAACCUUUCUUUACUUAUCAGCUAUUCUUAUUCCUUAGCCGAUCUUUAUUCUUUACUUAUUCUUUAUUCUUUACACUUUGUCGCACUUUUCUACUGGCCAUUCUUUCCUAAGGUUUCUCUUACCUUAGUUCUCUAUGCCACCCGACUCGGUCUUGAGUCAAUCAAUCGCGGAUAGUCCGCGCACUGUCUAGCUCGAGGUGAAGGAACUCUCACAUGCACCUCAGCUGGCAACAGCUCACCGUACUCCUGUCCUAGCCGUCUGGCAGCGAACGAAUCGCACCUCACCCAACAACGGCCUAGGUCCAUGACUUAGCCACCCGGCGGCGAAAUCGUCGCACAAACGCCACGACAGUGGUUCAAUCAACAGGCGGUAGGAUCCACAAACUGGCUAACCAUCCGGCGGCGAAAUCGUCGCACACGCCACGACAAAGGUUCUUUAGCCCUUGAGCGGCGAAAUCGUCGCACACACCCGACACCACGUUGGGUGUAUCCUUUUAGCCUUGGGAUUCUGGAAUCCAUUUCACAUCACAUAGGGGUUGGUCUUAACCCUAUGGAACUGACCUCUCUAGGUCUAAGCCUUCACUCAACUCACCCAUUAGGUUUAUUACUUUCGCAUUCUUAACCUAGGUUUAUUACACUAGGAUCAUUAUUCUUUCCAACCUAGGUUCACUUGACUCUAGGUUAAGUACUUUUCAUUUCACGACCUAUGUUUAUUAACACUAGGUUAGAUGCCACUCGAUCUAUUUGAUUCUAGGUCUACUCACAACCUAUGCUCCUUAACACUAAGUUAGAUGCCACUCGAUCUAAUUCACAUACUAAUUGUCCAAUUAAGCAUUCUACUCAUUCUAGAGUUAUCAAUUCUCAUUUUCCAAUGUUAUCUCUCUAUUCAAGCUAGAGUUAUCAACCAAGUUCAUAUGCAUAUAUAAUCUCACAAUGCUAAGCAUGCAUCUAUGAUCUCAUAAUGCUAAUCAUGCGUUUAUAAUCUCAUAUAUUAUUUAUAUGCAUCUACUUAGCAUUUACAUCAUACUAUAAACAUGCAUCUUAUAACUUGCUCAUUAUGCAUUCUAGCAUUUCUACAUUACAUUAUUUAGCAUUAUGUAACUUGCUCAUAAUGCAUUCUAGCAUUUCUACAUUACAUUAUUUAGCAUUAUGUAACUUGCUCAUAAUGCAUUCUAUUUAGCAUUUACAUCAUACUAUCAACAUGUAUUAUUUAGCUACAUGCAUCAUUUACAUUCUUCAUUUACAUUUAUAUGCAUUAAUAUGGAUUCUUAGUUUCUUAGACAUAAAGGCGACCUAGUCGCUUUGGUAAACACAACCCACCUUAAUUCGCGUUCCGAUUGCUUGUCGACACUUGCAAUCGGCCUCCCGCGGCACCCGUAUCCGGCACGGCCCGAUACUGCAACUGCGCCUCAACCGUGCUCCGCUUCGCAGCCCCGAAAAUUAUAGGUCUUUGGUAAUGUGCCACGAUGCCUCAAAUCCAUUUCCAUGAUUUUACGACGUCGCCUCGGCCCUCCCGACGGACCCGAAGCCUAAACGUCUAUUUCUUUAAUAACUUUGUAACGGCUCGUCGGAUUGCCGAACCGUCUUCGCCAACGCGUUUCGUUACCUAGCAAUUAGGUUUACAAAGGGUCAAAUGAGAUCAAACCCUCAUAUUUUGAAAGUUUGCAUUUUGGAGCCCUAGGUUACAACUAUGCAAGAAAUCACUAAAUUGAUCCAUGAUUCAAGCAUUAAUCAUCUAGAUAGCAUGCUAGGACUCCUCUAAAUCCAUUUAUAAGGUAUUUAAACCAAGCAUUAAAGAUCUACCAUUAAAGGACUCAAGAAGCUCACCUCAAAAUGAGCUCCAAACCAUGGAGAAGAUGAAGAAGACAAAGGCGAUCCACCUCCAAGCUUCAAUCUCCACCAAAUCCAUUCUUUUUGGGAGAGAUUUAGAGAGAGAAAGAGAGGCUUCUCUCUUCCCUUCCAUGCGCGUGUGUGUGUGUGCGGUUUGGGCUGCUACGGCUGGGAGGAAGAAGAAGCAAAAGGGAUUUAAUCCCAUUUUACCAUUUUGGCCCUCAACUACACACUAUUCACUACGGGCAGUCUGAAAUCUGAUAAAUUUCGUUGGAGCCCUUCCGGAUGUCCGUUUUCGAUCAAAUUUGACAGGCAGGCUCAGUUUAAUGUACUGAGCAAGAAUAUAUCUUAAGUUUUCAGUUUCGACUCCGUUUGGUCACCGAAAACUGUGCAGAACUGCAAUCUUUAUCAGAUAGCUUUCGGAUUUUAUUUCUCACUCUACGGGUGUCAGAAAAAUAUGAAACUUUAAAUCUAGCCUCAUAAAAAUAUUUCUGACAUCCCCGCUAAUUUUCAUAAUUUUCUGAGACUGUGCAUUUUCUGCUAAUUUAUUAGUCCCGUUUCCAACAGAAAAUUCUAAAUCUUCUGUUUUCGCUCCGAUUUCAGCACAGGUCGUUCCCAACCGAUAUUUCACUUCUCUAAAUCUAAUAAAAUAGUAUCUCAUACUAUUUUUAUUUAUUUUUCUCUUUUAUAUUUAAAAUCUGGUAUGUUACAACAACUAUUGCGCUCCUUCGUUU
rnacentral:lncRNA from 1 species